AUUUUCUCUCAGCUGUAAUUACAGCUCACUGUCACACUAGCUGAACUAGCUCAUCUUGCUGGAGGAGAAAUAUUAGAUGAACCUAUACAGUACCUUGUGCUUUUAUGCUCCACUUUUAUCCUCAUCCCUGAAGUUGUCUGACCUGUGGAAGUGCUGCUGAAACACUGCCGUAUUUCUUAAUGCAAGAUGGAAACCAGAAAGGGUUAUGAAUGUCUACAGAAAUCAGCUUUUGCAUCUCAACAUGGCACAAAAGCACCUGUUCUUUGCUGUUCAAGACACAGUUAAUAAACAUUAUUAUUAGGUAAGGAUCCUAUUAUGCCUGUCAUCGUACAUGUCAAUCUUUGCAGAAUUAGGAAUCUAAACCCAGUAGCAUGGGAACAGAUUAAUUUCUGAGAAAAGUGGGGCAAACUAACACGUCUGUCAACUAUCACCAACUUUUACACAAUUUUAAAAAUAAUUCAGAAACACUUCUACAUUGCCAGUCUGUUUGAAAGGAUGUUCUUAUUAAAAGAAAUCAUAAAUACAACGUUUUGCUGCAUUUAUCUAAAGGCAAACUUAAGACACAAAACCUUUAUAUGUUCUGAAAGCCACCCUCUGUAUACAGAGCUGUUGCUAACAGAUAUUCAAGUCCAGAGGUAAAGAUAUAAGUGAAUAUUCACAGCUGUCCUCGACAAUCCUGGAUCUACAGAGGUUAGAGACCUUUGUCUGUUUAACAAAGGAAGAGCACCAGCAAUAAAACACCACAAAAGCUCCUUUGUGAGAUUAGGAUCACUUAACUCAGUUCAGACCUCUACGUGACACGGGAAAGUAAAGCAGAAAAUGAGCUACUUUUCAGCACAGAACAGAGCACUAUAAAAGCAGCUUUUACAUUUAUUGCAAGAUCUCUGGGUUUCCUCUGACAAAGCAGCAGAAUGAACCUUAAGAAAGGCCUUUUAUGUGGUCAUUUGUCGGUCCAGGUGGCCUGGCCACGCAAUGAGUCUGCAACAAUUUUUCUCAGACUGCCCUUUUCUUGUCCUUCAACACACAAUUCACUUUGUAGGCUCAGUGACACAGCUCUUGCCUACCAUUGCUUCCUUUGUUGGCAUUUUCAGAUCUUGGAUUUUGGAACUGAAAUAUCAUACUCCCACAGCAGCGUUUACUUUCUUAUUUAUCGGAUGUUAAUCUGGCACCUUGGUGACACAAGGACUUACUUAGACUACAUAACUAUUUUCUGAGUGACCUCUUGAAUGAAAUAAAUAGAGGUAACUGCUUGCGUAUACUGAGCACGCUAAGAUUAAAGCUUCAUGUUUACUUUCAAUGUAAAAAUAGCACCAAUUGUCUCUGAAUCUGUGUGAAAUGGGUGAUUCUACAUAAUGUUGCGUUCUGCUUAAGAAGCCCCCAAGAUACAUAAACCCCUACUGGUGAAUGGUUUUUCUAAGGUGCUUUUCACACUCUGCAUUCCCUCUGCUUACUUUUCCCUAGCCUUACAAGCAAGAACUUCCUGCAGGUUUUUCAUGAGCUAUUGCAAAGUUCCUUAGGUCAGGUAUGUAGUUAGUCAGAAAUUACACUCACUCCCAUAAUACUUAAAUAACAUAGACAGAGUACUCAUUUGCAGAACAAUCACCUGAAAUACCUUGUAGCUGAUGGAGACUGAGGACUCCCAUGCAGGCACCAUUCUGCUCAAGUAUGCUGCAAAGCCCAGCUUCAGGUUUGUGCACACACCAAUCAUGCUUGGUGCACCUUGGAAAUUGCUUAGGGAGCAGUUUGCACUUCUAGUGAGGACUGACCCUAUGAUCCCUCAUGUAGGAGCUCUCUAUGAAAGUUAACUAUUCAUUCAGCCUAAUGCUACAUUUUUGGUCUGGAGAGAAAAAAUAAAGAAAAUCACUGCCAUCAGUAUGGAAUUUGGUUCCUGCAUUCCACAGCCCUAAGAGCAGCUCAUCUCAUCUGUCAAAAAUAUUAAUCUAGACUUCUAGAGUAAUAUAGUUUUCUCAGCAAUCUUUAAGGAUAAGGAGGAGGGUUCUUCCAGAACCCAGUUCACUUAACCCCAUUAAAUGCCUAAACCAUGCAGGAUGAAUCCAUCUGCGGAGAAGCUGCAUUGUCCCCACAGAAGAGGAAGAGCAGAGAGCUGGAUCAAGCAUUUUGAGAGCCGGAUGCCAUGGCCUUACAGAUAAAGUUGAGAACAUUAUCAUUCCAUUCCAUGAAGACUAAAAUUCUCUUUCCAAUACGGCAAAAAAUUGAGUAAUUUUGAGUACCAAGACUCACUGAACUUUUUCAAACCCAUUUUGUUUACUUUUCAUAGGCAGGAACUACCAUUGCACAACAAAAGAAAAUGAUUUUUUUAAAGAUCUGGAACUAGAGAUGUAAACAAUACAGAGAGGAGCUUUGAAAAAAUAGUAGAAAAAAAUUCCUAUAAACAUUUCUCUGCCAUAGUUUUAGAAGGGUAAUUCCACGUUCCUGAAGUAAAGAAAGAAACUUUAAUGCACUGGUUUUCAUGCAUAUGAUAUAGAGUCUUUUCAAACACUCCCUGAAAUGCUGAAGUGAAAAAUAACACAAUUUCUUUCUGAGUUCUUCUUUAUCCAAAUAUAUAUAUCUUCACACAAAUACAACUCCUUAACAAGGACAGUGAGAGCUUGCUAAAAUAGGAAAAAAUAAAAAAAUAAUCUUUAAAUAAAAGUUUAAUUCACUCUUACUUUACAGAAUAUUUAUAAGCACCUUAUCAUUUUACUGUCAGUUCUAAAAAAGACCAACAAGAGACUGAAAUGACUUUAACUGAUGAGAUAUAGGAAAGCUUUUGAACAAAUGGAUACAUGCUAAGCAAAAGCACAGUAAUAUUUUGUACACCACAAGUAAUGAGAAUCUGGAUUUGGUUUAUUCAAAUUUUGCUUUCUCGGAAGCAAAGCGUACAUGUUCGUAAACAUCAAAAUAAACAUUACUUAUUUUUACAAUUUGUUAAACAAAUGCUUUUUGCACUAAAGGGCAUUUGUAGAACCAUCUAUUUGCCUGACAGUUCUCCUGUAGACCUGUGUUUCAGUAUCUUUCUUAACAAUUGGAUCCCUUAGAACUCUAACGGUGCUUAAAAAUUUCUUCCAAUGAUGUGCAAGUCAUAGGCAAGGUCGAUUUGAUGAGUGCCCUUCCUUCCACAGAUUUUAAUCAGUAUUUAACUAAUGCAAAUGUGAAAAACUAUACAUUUUCAGCAAAAUGUUUUGAUUUUGGUCCUGUGGCUAAAGACCUUCUAUAAUUGUUUACAUGGAUCUGAUCUGAUUCACAAGCAUGUACACAACAAAACCACUAUACCAAUGUUUCUUGGUCUAUGCAUAAAAAGUAUGUCUUCUACUUACACUAAACAUACAAAAAAUAAACUACAAAAAUUGUUUACACUUGAUUUCAGCAAAAAAAGCUUUCUUCAAGAAAAAUGAUUUUUUUUUCAGCCAUCAAAAAAGGAAUGCAAGUAAACAAUAAAUACAUGUGCUUUCUCCAUAUAGACAUAUUUACACUUGAGUCUUUGGCUUAUGUUUAAGUUUCUUUAUAAAGAUCUUUAUGUGAUCCAGCCAUCAUUGCACAUUAAAACAAAAUAAGCCAGUUUUUUUUUUUUAACUAUAUAUAAUAUAUAUAUGCAACACUUGAAACGUAUAAAGAAUGAACCUUACUAUCAAUCUGCACUGUUAUUGUACUUUAACAAUGUAUCAAAAGGAAAAAAAAAAAAAAAGAAA